rnacentral:rRNA from 1 species
GACGAACGCUGGCGGCGUGCUUAACACAUGCAAGUCGAACGGAAAGGCCUCCACCUUGGUGGGGGUGCUCGAGUGGCGAACGGGUGAGUAACACGUGGGUGAUCUGCCCUGUACUUCGGGAUAAGCUUGGGAAACUGGGUCUAAUACCGGAUAGGACCAUGGUUUAGUGUCUCAUGGUGGAAAGAUUUUUUGGUGCAGGAUGAGCUCGCGGCCUAUCAGCUUGUUGGUGGGGUAAUGGCCUACCAAGGCGUCGACGGGUAGCCGGCCUGAGAGGGUGGACGGCCACAUUGGGACUGAGAUACGGCCCAGACUCCUACGGGAGGCAGCAGUGGGGAAUAUUGCACAAUGGGCGCAAGCCUGAUGCAGCGACGCCGCGUGGGGGAUGACGGCCUUCGGGUUGUAAACUCCUUUCGUUAGGGACGAAGCCGCACCUUUUUUGGGUGUGGUGACGGUACCUUUGUUAAGAAGCACCGGCUAACUACGUGCCAGCAGCCGCGGUAAUACGUAGGGUGCGAGCGUUGUCCGGAAUUACUGGGCGUAAAGAGCUCGUAGGUGGUUUGUUGCGUCGUCUGUGAAAUUCCGGGGCUUAACUUCGGGGUGGCAGGCGAUACGGGCAUAACUAGAGUGCUGUAGGGGAGACUGGAAUUCCUGGUGUAGCGGUGGAAUGCGCAGAUAUCAGGAGGAACACCGAUGGCGAAGGCAGGUCUCUGGGCAGUAACUGACGCUGAGGAGCGAAAGCAUGGGGAGCGAACAGGAUUAGAUACCCUGGUAGUCCAUGCUGUAAACGGUGGGCGUUAGGUGUGGGGACCGGUUUGGUUUCUGUGCCGUAGCUAACGCAUUAAGCGCCCCGCCUGGGGAGUACGGCCGCAAGGCUAAAACUCAAAGGAAUUGACGGGGGCCCGCACAAGCGGCGGAGCAUGUGGAUUAAUUCGAUGCAACGCGAAGAACCUUACCUGGGUUUGACAUGCACCAGACGGUUGUAGAGAUACGUACCUCCCUUUGUGGUUGGUGUGCAGGUGGUGCAUGGUUGUCGUCAGCUCGUGUCGUGAGAUGUUGGGUUAAGUCCCGCAACGAGCGCAACCCUUGUCUUAUGUUGCCAGCACUUUGGGUGGGGACUCAUGAGAGACUGCCGGGGUUAACUCGGAGGAAGGUGGGGAUGACGUCAAAUCAUCAUGCCCUUUAUGCCCAGGGCUUCACACAUGCUACAAUGGUUAGUACAACGCGCUGCGAGCCUGUGAGGGUGAGCGAAUCGCUGAAAGCUAAUCUCAGUUCGGAUUGGGGUCUGCAACUCGAUCUCAUGAAGUCGGAGUCGCUAGUAAUCGCAGAUCAGCAAUGCUGCGGUGAAUACGUUCCCGGGCCU